CUGAUAUUAUUUUAGUGUAGCUGUUGUCUUUCAUAAUGGUAAAGGUUUUAAAUAGAAGAGAUCUGCUCUGUCUUGGACUGUCCCCAUUCAUUCUUCUCUGGGAUGUCCUCUGUAUGUUCAGUGGGAAAGGGGAAGGCACUAACAGCUAGUCAGCUGGUGCUUCCUUUGUCUGUACCAGCUUUACAUCCUAAUCAUUUAUCAGCUGAAAGGGCAGACUGACUCUCCACAGGACAUCUGCAGCCAGAGAGCAAGUACUUUAGUAUUUCAUGUUGACUCAGCAGCGGCAUACUUUAUGAAAGAGAAUACCACUAGCUUCUCUUCUUUUUAAAUUUUAUUUUAUGUUCAUACAUUUCCUGAAAGAACAAUCUGGAACUGUUCCACAUCCGCUGCAGCAAAGAAAGCUGCUACUUGUGCUGGUCUGCCCAACUUGCAUUCCUGGCAGCUAACUCUAGCUGCAAACUUUGUACCUGGAAAAACGUAUUUAUACAUUUCUUAAAUUAUUUGAAAAAAAAAAAAAAGAAAAAGAAAAAGAAAAAAAGAAGAAGAAAAAAAAAAGCACGCUAUAUCCACUAGUUAUGUGCCCAGAAGAUACUGAAAAGAGAAGGGAAAACUAAUAUUUUGCUCAGAUUGACUGUACCUCAAGAUCAGAGAGGAAUGAAAACGGAACUUGAACACUCAUGAGACUCUCUCCUUGCUUUGCACCAACAGAUGCUGGUUUGUUAUUAUCCUGGUGGGAGCCCUGAGCUGUCCAGCACCAAAUGGGUCUCUAAUCAUGGUGCAGCAUGCUGUGCAGAGUCCAUCCAUGCUGUGCAGAGUUCAUCCAUGCAAGUGCUCCGCAAUUUGCUCCUAUGAGCUCCUAUGGGAUUUUCUUAAAAAGAAGACAACUCUGUUCAUAAUUUCUACUAUCCAACAAAAGAGCAUUCCCAUGGGAACUUGUUGCUGCAGCUGUCCACAUAGAGACGAAAGAGAAGAAGAACUACGUAUCCCAGAGGACCUCGUGGUCAGAGAAGGAAGAUACAUCAUGGAAGAUACGUCAUCUGGUUGCACACGGUCUCUCACUUUCGCUUGCUGCCGGGAGAGGAGUGGGUGUGCUUUCCAAGCCGUGUGCCUUCAUCAGUCCUGAGUGAACUUUAGUAAGACUGGCAAUCCAAGGCUUGUGUGCCAGCAGCUUUGAUGGUGGAAAGGAUGCUUCUGAGUUAAGUAUAGUGGUCCCUGGUAAAGGUGUCUUUUCACUCUCCCUUUCAUGGUGUUUGUUGCUGUUGUUGUAGUUUGUUUGUUUUGGUUUCUUUUCCCCCUCAUUUUUAUUUGCAGGACAGUAAUGUUUUGAACCAAGGAAAAUCCACAUGGAAGUCUUUAUGUCAGACAAG
rnacentral:lncRNA from 1 species